rnacentral:rRNA from 1 species
CGAGUGGCGGACGGGUGAGUAAUGUCUGGGAAACUGCCUGAUGGAGGGGGAUAACUACUGGAAACGGUAGCUAAUACCGCAUAACGUCGCAAGACCAAAGAGGGGGACCUUCGGGCCUCUUGCCAUCGGAUGUGCCCAGAUGGGAUUAGCUAGUAGGUGGGGUAACGGCUCACCUAGGCGACGAUCCCUAGCUGGUCUGAGAGGAUGACCAGCCACACUGGAACUGAGACACGGUCCAGACUCCUACGGGAGGCAGCAGUGGGGAAUAUUGCACAAUGGGCGCAAGCCUGAUGCAGCCAUGCCGCGUGUAUGAAGAAGGCCUUCGGGUUGUAAAGUACUUUCAGCGGGGAGGAAGGGAGUAAAGUUAAUACCUUUGCUCAUUGACGUUACCCGCAGAAGAAGCACCGGCUAACUCCGUGCCAGCAGCCGCGGUAAUACGGAGGGUGCAAGCGUUAAUCGGAAUUACUGGGCGUAAAGCG